GCGAGAAUAUUCGACAAUGGACGAAAGUCUGAUCGAGCGACGCCGCGUGUACGAUGAAGUUUUUCGGAAUGUAAAGUACUUUUAUGAGGGAAGAACGUUGACGGUACCUCAUGAAUAAGGGGCUCCUAACUCUGUGCCAGCAGGAGCGGUAAUACAGAGGCCCCAAGCGUUAUCCGGAAUCACUGGGCGUAAAGGGUGUCGAGGCGGUUGUAUUAGUCGUUCGUAAAAUCUACGAGCUUAACUUGUAGGCGGCGAACGAAACGGUACGACUUGAGGUUUGGAGAGGUGCGUGGAACUCACGGUGUAGGGGUGAAAUCCGUUGAUAUCGUGGGGAACACCAAAGGCGAAGGCAGCGCACUGGCCAAAAUCUGACGCUCACACACGAAAGCUAGGGUAGCGAAGAGGAUUAGAUACCCUGGUAGUCCCUGAGCGGGCUGGCAAGGCGCAU
rnacentral:rRNA from 1 species